GACGAACGCUGGCGGCGUGGAUUAGGCAUGCAAGUCGGACGGUAGGGCUUUAUCGUAAGAUAGAGUUUGAGAGUGGCGAACGGGUGAGUAACACGUAGGUUAUCUACCCUCAAGACGGGGACAACCCAGGGAAACUUGGGCUAAUACCGGAUGUGAGCAACUUUUAGUUGUUUGAAAGGUGGCGUAAGCUGUCGCUUGGGGAUGAGCCUGCGUCCUAUUAGUUAGUUGGUGAGGUAACGGCUCACCUAGGCAAUGAUAGGUAGGCGGCCUUAACGGGUGGUCGCCCACACUGGGAUUGAGAUACGGCCCAGACUCCUACGGGAGGCAGCAGUCGAGAAUAGUCUACAAUGGUCGGAAGACUGAUAGUGCGACGCCGCGUGAACGAUGAAUCCCUUCGGGGUGUAAAGUUCUUUUAUAUGUGAGCAGUGCUUCUUAUAUUAACAGUAUGGGGAGAGAGAUAUUAGCAUAUGAAUAAGCAACGGCUAACUCCGUGCCAGCAGCCGCGGUAAACUCG
rnacentral:rRNA from 1 species